ensembl:lncRNA
UGUAGGUAUAGGGGUGUGGAAGAACUGUUAUUCCAACUACUGACACCAAAAAGCAUGGGGCCGUGGUCCGUCCAGUGAAGACAGGAGCUCUUCUGCAGCAAAGAGAGCGUACUGCGUUAUCUAAUUUAAAAUAGUGUUAACAAGCCUCCGGUUGAUAAAUAGGCGCGCAUGCAGCUUUCAUGAAGGAGGAUGGAGAUAGAGAAGAGGACGAAUGGGUUCGAUUACCCAGAGAGAAACAACACUAAGUCCGACGGCUUCUAUGGUGAUCAUCCCUUGGAAGCCGAACAGAAGAAUGGAUUAGUUUUUCUCCAUUGGUUUGGCUCAUUUCUUGAAACAGAAAUUACAUUCUCAAAAGAUCAUUGGGCAAAACAUUCUUACA